UUUAUUUUAUUUGACAAGUCUACCAUAAAUUCAUAUGAAUAAUUGUACUUAGAUUAGAAUCAAUAUCCCAUUCAUAAUCAUAUGUGGAAGAUGUAAUGUAAUGAUGUUUUAGAAAGUAGGCCUAUCAACUAAAACAAAGCAAUGAAUCCCUAAACUUCACUUCACUUCACUUCUCCAUCUUCCUUCAUCGGAAUCAUGUCUUCUCUUCUCCAAGGUACCUCUUGUAAUGGCGUUUGUUCAGCGGUGAUGGUAGCAACCAGGUUGCGGUUCGAAAUUGGCAGUGACUAAAGGUUUCGGUAGAACAUAUUGAGCCAUCCACGAAGUUCCACCAUUAACUGGACUCACUUCCUUCCCAACUAUAGCGGUUUUAGCACAGCAUCUUCUUCUUCAAAGGCUAAGAAACAAGCUAAAACAGUUUGCUGAUCAAUACGAACUAUCUGAGCAGCAACAUGGCCAGAAGUUGAAGCAAAAGUCAUUGGAACUACAGCUUGCUGAUUUAAAAAUUAAGCAACAUGGGGAAAAAUUGGCUCAGGAACAGUCUCAAAUGAAAGUAUAUGCAGAACAAAUAUCUCAGUUAUUAGCAACUGAGAAGAAUUUUCUAUAGCAGCUGAUGGAGAAAAAUUCCAACAAUUCCAGGAAGCAUUGUCAACAAGCAAUGAGGUUUUUGAAACGUUUAAACAAGAGAUUAAGAAGAUGGCAAAAUUAAUCAAGGAACUCAAGAAGGAGAAUCAAUUCCUGAGGAGUAAAUAAGAGAAGUCUGAUGUUACAAUUGUAGAAUUUGCAGGGCAUAUUUCCACAUGAGAUGUUGCUGGUGAGGAAUUUGCAGGGCAUAUUCUUUUUGUUUUUGUUGCAUUGUAAUUGGAGGUCGUGUAAAUUUGCCUCUUUGUUCAUUAGUAGUAGAUGCAUAUGUACAUAGUACUUGUACUCAUUCCUGUUUUAGUAGUCUUCACUUGCCUAGUAAAACAUGCAAUACUGUGCAUGGCCAGAGGAAGUUUGCUAAAAACUGGAAAAUAAUGAAGUGAUUGGUGAGUAAAACUAACUUAUACAUGUGAUAGUUUAUGAGUAAAACUUACUUUUU